rnacentral:piRNA from 1 species
UGCUAAGUCUGUGAGAAGCUGUGACGCAG